CCCCUCUCAGAAUGUCACCUGAAGAGUUUCCAGUACUCGACCAGUCUUGAUUAUGGGAGGGAGAGUCAAUCAGAGGCCUAUCCAUUCCAUUCCUAGCUUGGGCAGUGGCUAGGGAGUGGAAGACACUCUGCUACAAGU
rnacentral:snoRNA from 1 species